rnacentral:rRNA from 1 species
CAGUAGCCACGGUAAUACGUAGGUGGCAAGCGUUGUCCGGAAUUAUUGGGCGUAAAGGGCUCGCAGGCGGUUUCUUAAGUCUGAUGUGAAAGCCCCCGGCUCAACCGGGGAGGGUCAUUGGAAACUGGGAAACUUGAGUGCAGAAGAGGAGAGUGGAAUUCCACGUGUAGCGGUGAAAUGCGUAGAGGUGUGGAGGAACACCAGUGGCGAAGGCGGCUCUCUGGUCUGUAACUGACGCUGAGGAGCGAGAGCGUGGGGAGCGAACAGGAUUAGAUACCCGGGUAGUCCCUGUCUCUUAUAC